AUUGGUGACCUCAUAAGAAUCCAAAGUCCAAAGGCAGUGAGUAAAUUGAAUGAAAAGCCGUGUCCUUUUUGGUCACGAAAAGCAGCAGAGUAUAAUAACAGAGACACAGAGAGAGAGAGAGAGAGAGAGAGAGAAGAAGAGAGGAGAUGAGGACAUUGGGCACAAGAAUCAGAAAAUGUGCGUGUGGAUAUAAAAUCAAAAUAUAUAAACAUUGCUUCUUGUCAGUCAAAGCCUUUGCAGUCUCAAAGCCAAAGAGAAGCAUCGAGUCAUUUUCAUGAAAUUGGUGGAGAAGAAAGAGAGGACAAAAACAACAAAGUCGUCCUCGGAAAUUCAGUGAGUCUCUGAGUCUACCCUUUCAAAACGCGGAAUCGCUCCCACCAUUAAAGAAAUCACGGGUUGAUUCAAUUUCCAUUUUCUUUGAAGAUUCAAAGCUGCAAACCCAAGAUCACCGUCAUCGACAACACCUUUACAUUGAGCAACCACCCCCACAAAAGCCAGAAGCUUUCGUUUCAUUGACCCAAAUUGGUUGUGCCCAGUUGUUUUGCUUCUUCGAAUUUCAUGGCUUCGGCGGCGAUAUUCUCAUCGCUGCGGCGGCGAAGGUCGCCUUCUUUGGAGGCGUUUUUAGCUCCGGUAGACCUCUCCGACGUGGCGCUUGUACAAAUCCUAGUCUCAGUCACCGCCGAGAUAGCUUCGUCCUUCUCUGACAAGUUCUUCUCAUUCCAGAAGAGGAAUUCGAGGUCCCUGGUGCGAAAAGUCGAGAUCUUUCUCGUGCUUUUGGAGUAUUUGAGGGACUCCGGGUCGGCUCUGCCAUGGACGGCCGUCAUCUGCUUGAAAGAGCUCUACUUGCUCUUGUAUAGAUCCAAAAUUCUUCUCGAUUACUGCGCCCAGUCCAGUAAGUUAUGGCUUUUGCUUCAGAAUCAACCAAUUUCAGGUCAUUUUCAUGAUUUGAAUAAAGAAAUUUCGACCCUUUUGGACGUUUUUCCCAUGGAGGACGUUGAAUUGGGUGAGGAUGUGAGGGAGCAGAUUGAGCUGUUGCAGAGACAGGCCAGGAGGGCGAAACUGUUCAUCGAUGAAGGAGAUGAGGAGUUGAGGGUUAAAUUCUUUUCGUUCCUUGACGAGUUUGAGAAGGGUCAGGUUCCCGACUCGGCCGAUUUGUGGUUGUUUUUUGCAGAGCGAUUGGGGAUUCGAGAUGCCAAGAGUUGUCGAAAUGAAAUUGAGUUCUUGGAGGAGCAGAUUAUAAAUCACGAAGGGGAUGUUGAACCCACCGUUUCGGUGCUUAAUGGGUUUGUGGCAUUCACUCGAUAUUGCAGGUUUUUGCUUUUCGGGUUUGAAGAAGAUGAAGUGGAAUUGGGGAUUGGGAACAAUCAGAGGAAGCCUAGAAAAGGUUUGAUCACUCAAGAAAUUGCUGAGACUUUUAUAACGAUUCCAAAGGACUUUUGCUGCCCCAUAUCAUUGGAUUUGAUGAGAGAGCCGGUGAUUGUCUCAACAGGACAGACAUAUGAUCGAAGUUCUAUUUCGAGGUGGUUGGAAGAAGGGCAUUGUACUUGUCCAAAGACAGGACAAAUGCUGCCCAACACCCGCCUUGUUCCUAAUCGGGCAUUGAGGAAUUUGAUAAUGCAGUGGUGCACUGCUUAUGGAAUUCCUUAUGACCCUCCAGAGUGCACAGAAGCUUCUGCAGAAAGCUUUGCAGCUGCUUCUCCCUCUAAGGCUGCACUUGCUGCCAACAAAGCAACCGCAGGGCUUCUAAUCCAACGGCUGGAAGAUGGAUCACCAUGUGCACAAACUAUAGCUGCUCGUGAGAUUCGUUUGUUGGCCAAAACAGGAAGAGAAAAUCGUGCUUUCAUUGCGGAAGCUGGGGCGAUUCCCCAUCUAUGUAAGUUACUAUCAUCUCCAAACUCUGUUGCCCAAGAGAAUUCUGUAACUGCAAUGCUCAACUUAUCGAUAUAUGAUAAGAACAAAAGCCGGAUUAUGGAUGAAGGGUGUUUGGGAUCCAUUGUUGAUGUUCUGAGGUUUGGGCACACAACUGAGGCAAGGGAGAAUGCUGCAGCAACUUUGUUUAGUCUAUCUGCAGUUCAUGACUAUAAGAAGAGAAUAGCAGAUGAGGAAGGAGCAAUUGAAGCCUUGGCAGGGCUGUUGAGAGAGGGUACCCCAAGAGGAAAGAAGGAUGCUGUGACAGCUUUGUUUAACCUGUCAACUCACACAGAAAAUUGUUCGAGAAUGAUUGAGGCAGGGGCUGUGACAGCACUUGUAAGCGCAUUGGGAAAUGAAGGAGUUGCUGAGGAAGCAGCAGGUGCAUUGGCCUUGGUUGUUAGGCAGCCGAUUGGGGCUAAAGCAGUGGGGAAAGAGGACACGGCAGUGGCAGGUUUGGUAGGGAUGAUGCGUUGUGGGACUCCAAGGGGUAAAGAAAAUGCAGUUGCAGCUUUGCUUGAGUUGUGCCGGAGUGGUGGAGCUGCUGCCACUGAGAGGGUAGUUAAGGCACCAGCUUUGGCUGGGUUGCUGCAGGCAUUGCUUUUUACUGGUACAAAGCGGGCAAGAAGAAAGGCAGCAUCUCUUGCUAGAGUGUUCCAAAGGUGUGAGAAUGCUGCAGCCAUUCAUUUUGGUGGUCUUGGUGUAGGAUAUGCAUUUGCAGGUAACUCAGCUGCAAAUAGGGAUUCGAGUUUCGCCAGUGAUGUCGCAGUGCCAAUGUCCAUUUCAGUGCCUGUUUUAUAGUGGUAACAUCCACCCUAGAUUUAUAGUCUUCCUUGCUUAUAUGUUCCCAUUUUUGUUGGAAAUAUUUACACAUUCUUUCAUUGAAAUUGGAGGUCAUAAAGAAGUUACAGGAAUAUCUUAUCUAAAUGUGCUUUAAGAGAAUAUGUUGUGUUGUCGAGCUUCUAGUCUAAGUUUAGCAUACAUGUAAUGUCCAAUGGUUUGAAAAACCACGACAGAAAGUGUUCACAACAAUGUCAAGACCAUUACAGAUGCAUUGAGAAACUGCAGUUUCAAGGGAUGUUUCUCAAUUGGCUUAUUGGUUUCAUAAAAAUAUGAUUCAAAUGCAGAAAUUUGUAUUGCUGUGACAUUUUGUUAACUGAUAUAAUGACUGGCCGCUGAAAUCCUUAUCGAAGAAUCCUACUAAAGUCGUUUAAGUGAAUUCUUGGAGAUCCUUGUAACCUAGCAUAAUCAUAUAAGGUCUCAGACCUUGAAUCUCUUGAAAUCGUGUUAAUGCUUCUGAAUUUGAUGUUAUAAAGUGACUACUUAUAUUUGUGCUGCUCAACAGUGCUUUUGCCUGAUCUAUAAGUGAAUGUUUUAUAAACACCUAUUGAGAGAACAAAUAAUGUUAUAUGAACUAGUUGCAAUAAUUGGCUGAACAGUUGGGCUUUCCAUUUUUAGCUUCACUUUGGUAAGAGUGGAUCUCAGACUGUUAUUGGCACAAGUAACUGUCUAACUGAGUUCGUCUUCACAUUGUGAUGUUGAAUCAGAAAACAAAAAUUUGAUCUUUUAACAACUCUUAUGCGUUUGAAUAUUCAAAAGUGUUACCUUUCAAUUUAUAUUUACAAGACCUAGGCAACGUAGUUCUUAAGAAGUCUCAAGAAUUUAGUUAGCGAAGACUGAGCAAAGGUACGAGGCAUUUCCACAUCGGGAACUUUCUUUCUGGAGACUAAAACUAGUGGUUUAUUUGUGAAUGAUGUAAGAUAGGACACAAUUUUCUUCUUUCAUUCAAUUGUUUGAUUGACCAAAUGCUAAGUUUGGUAAGGUGAUGACCCAACUAGUUUCAUCCAUUAGAUUCUUAUCGGCCAAGCAGGUCAGACAACAGAGUCACAUCACAAUGCUGCUAUUCUCUGUGUUUUUUUUUUUUUUUUUUCCCUUAAGGUAGAAAGUGGGAUAACAGUGGCAAAAUGCUAUGAUCGUUUUCAUUGAAUUGAUUGGAGCACCUUGAGAGAGAUAAAUCUAGGAAGAUUUCAUUUCAUUGGCCUCUUUUUUAACCUUUCUUUUUAAGAAUAUGUUUGGCUGGCGUUAGGCAACCACUAAAGUCUGUUGGAAAAUUCCACUUGAAGCAGAAUCUUGUUGCAAUCGAGAGCUUUUGUAAUGGCGUUGAAGGGAACGUACUCAAAGUUGAUGCACCAAAAGAUCCCAUUUACUUGAAUAAUAAUUGGAGACUGAUGAGAGAUAUUGUGUGGUCGCUGAAGCUUAUAUAUCUUGAGGCCAAAUCCUCAACCAGUUGCAGCAAUGAUGGUUGCUAAUGAUAAUACCACAACAUCCAUAAUGCUUACAGCUUAUACCCCAAUAUUCUUGACUUUAUAUAUUAAAGAAAAUCACUGUUUAUAGAUUCUAAAACGUUUGGUGGGUGAUACUUUAUUGAACUAUUUCAAUUAAAUUGGACAAGAGUCUUGGCCGUUGUUUAGUGUAUUAGGACUGAAGUUUUUAAAUUGGACACAGUUCAACAUAUUUUGUCUUAUAAGUUCCACCUAGAGGGUAAAAUUCAUAAAAACUGACUUAUACUCAACUUCAAUUCAAUCCAAUCCGGACGACCAGACAAAAAAUAAAUAAAUGUAUAGAUGUUAAAGAGUUGCUCAACUUGAACUUUCUUGGGUCCCUCCAUGGAAAAGAUUACAAGCCCCAUCUCCUUGGCCGGUAAUGUGAGAAAGUAUUGGGUGGCAAUAGUAUUACUGAUAUCAUAGUGAUUUCUGUCCUUUUUUUCUUAUAAUGACACCACUUUGAGUGGUUCUUCUCCAUCCAUUUGGCAAAGCCUGUGUGGAGGGAGGACAAUGUGCAGGGGGCUCUGUUCUAUUCACCCUCAAAACUAGGCAAUCCUCAUGGCAUGUCUUACUGGGUUUAUUCAUUUGGACACAUUGGACUAUUAUUACCUGGCCGGCAAGAAAAUUCAUGAUUUUUAUUGUUGCCAUUGUUUUUAGACUCUCUCAGUUUAUAGUAUCUACAAUUCAAUACGUUGCCUCCAAGGCAGGUAGUCUUGGUUGGAUUUCAAACACGAAACGUUUUAAACGUUGUAUUUGGAUCAAUGGAUUUAAAAUUGAUGAAGUUUUUAUAACAUGUUGAAAGUUAUUUCUUUACAGAAAGUCUAUUUUGCCGGCCUUAGCUCUUCACAAUAAAAACAAGGCAGCUAGAACAUAACAGAAGAUGGUUGGAUGUUAAAAUGAGGCAUUAUUAUUAUAAUAUGAGACGAGUUGAAUGUUUGAUUUAUGUACGUUGACGUUUUUGUCCAAUCGAACUCACCCAAUGCAUUGGAUGUGCCCUCACAAUAAAAGACAAUAAGGUAGGGUUUUUGUUUCCUUCUGUUAUUGACUAAUAUUUAAAUAAAAAACACUGGAACAUGCACUGAAGUGGCAUUUAAUCCAAGUGUAAACAACUGAAUUUUUCUUGCUGUUGGUCCCUUAGGCCUGCUGAAACCAUCUCAGAAUUCAAAGUCUUGGUCUUGGCAAUAAAACAGCAAACAAGAAACAAAGAAGUGCAACAGGGGACUUUGAAUGUGCUGGAAAUUUGAUGCUGAAACGCAGAGUAUAUUUUACUGCAACCAUGGGGUGGGGGGAGAUCUUUAUCUAAGACAUUCUAGACAAGAAAGAAUAAUAUAUGAGGGUGGUUGAUUUCUCUUUGGCUCAUGUGGGUUUAGUCCAAAACCAAAUCAGACGUUUAGAAUUAUAGUAGUCUUGGCCUAGCUAGCUAUCAAGGAGGCAUCAUAGUCAACGCAUUUGGAAAACUAGUAAACCAAAAAUGAUGUUUAUAAUGACGCAAAUUAAUGAAAGCGUAACGACCAUAUUUGCUUCAUGAUAUACAUGUUGAACAUUAGAAAUCUAAAGCUGUUAUGCUUGUUGAAUUUCGCACAUUGGUUUUUUUUUCUUUUUCUUUUUAUAUUAAAUUACAGAGGAUUCCUUGAUUCACAGAUUUUAAAUAAAUAAAUAACACAAGCAACAGUAAAAAAAUACGUAGCACUGGAUAGGAAAAUAUGCAUGAAACAGAGUGGAUGGGAAUUGAACCAAAAGAACAGUUAUUGAAAGCCCGUAUUGUGUUAUGGGCUGAAAUGUUUGUUCUAGAUAGGUAUUAUGAAAGGACUUGGGGUUGGAAGUUGGUCACGGGAGGGGCUAAAGACCUUAAAUAAGACUCUAUCUCUUAAUCGUUAGAUCAAUUUAGUUAGUUAUUGGAUUAAAUUAGUUAGUUUGAUCCAACGGUUUAAAAAUAGAACCUCAUCUAAUGGUUUUAGAUAAGGCCCCCACUAUAUAGAAUAACUUGGGGAAAGAUCCAAAGACAUAAAGUGAGAGAGAUCAGAAAUUCAAUCCAGGCAAGUCUCUUGAAGCUCAUUAAUUUUCAAGCAAAAGUAUGUUGUUUCAUUUCACAUUUUUCUUUACUACACACUGGAAAAUAAAAAUGAAUGUUAUAAAACUAAAGGGAAUUGUAGACAACAAUAAGAGGAAGAGAAAUACAGAGAAUUUGUUCUAUGAAUUUGUAUCAACUUAUCUUAUUCAUCUUUGAUAAGAGCCUAUUUAUAGGCUUACAAUAGAGGUAUUUAACCCAUAAUUUAUCGCUACUAAUUACAAUAAUAAGGGCAUAGGUUACAAAGCAAUAAGGGGUGGAGCUAAUGGAUGUUAUGGUGGUCAUCCAUAUUCCAUAGAUUUAUAACAAUGAAGAUAUUAUACUUCAGCCUUCAGGGUUUCUCAAAUAAAUAAAUGAAAAAAAUCGAAGUUUUUCUUUUCUGAAAUUUCCAAAAAUUGAUUGGAAAAUGAAUUAAAAAAGAAAAGCUAAAAAGGUUGGUCCCUUAUAACUUACUUUACCAUUUUAGGCGACUCAAAAGUUUAAUUGUAUUUCAAGCUGAAGCUGGCUGGUGUGUCUUUGUCUGCAGUAAAUGAGUUCAUUGCUUAGGCACAAGGAUGUCAAAAUCACUAAGAGUCCAUUCAGCAACUUGAUCAGGGUCUUUGAAAAUUUCAACCCCUAAAUCUAUAGACAUCCAUUGCCUUCUAGCUGGUGGGGUUCCUGGAUCCUGCAAAUAAGACAUCAAACCAUAGCUCAACUUAGUAUAUGUCACAAGCAAUAUUGUAGCAAAAUUUAAUCUGUCACAGGGCAAACAAUAUCAAACCUGGUAAAAAUAAAGUGAUUGUGACAACCUCCCAACAUCCAGCUCCCAUGUUCUUGGAUCCCCAAUCCAACCCUCCCCUUGCUUUGUAGGGUAUCCGUACUCACCCCAAACCGGGUGUGGCAAGAUUUGCAAAAUCUCCUGAGGCUGAGGGUUGCUAUAUGGAUCACACAAGUUAAAAGGAGCCUCUAGAUGCUCCCCGUUCCCCGGCGAGCAGUACAAGUGAUAGGCGGCGUAAGGGAAGCGGGCAGUGUCAUUUCGAUGAACCCGUGUGCCGUUUGGGAAUGUGUGGUAAGGUGGGCACACAUUGAGGUUGUUUGCAUGGCACCAUGAGGUUGUGUUUGGAUUUAUGAUCAUUUCACUGUAUCUGGUAACAUCUGAAGUCACAUUGCCAUCACAAGGCUUCCCAUUGUUCUUCCAACAGCUCCCCAUGUCCAUGAGGUAGAACUGGCUGCUAGGACCCCCACCUUUGAUCACAUUCAAGGUGAACCUCACUUUAAAAUUGGGUGAUUCUGGAAUCUGCAUUGCAAUUGGCAAUAUUUGAGUAAACCAAGUAUCUUCAUCCUCAAGAAAGUUUUGCUUCCAAGCAAAAGCAAAACUUAUGAAAAGUAUGCUUUCCUAACAAAGAUUAGCACAAAAGUUUUCUUAGAUAAAACUUGUAUAACUAUAUAAAAGGGUUACUCACAAUUUUGGACAUCCCUCUUGUAGGGUAAUGGUAGCCACCAGAAAACCCAUGUGUGGCGUCUGAUCUCAAGUAAAGCAUCAGCCAAGGAUACUUUGCUGAAGUCCUCAAGACAUGGUGGAAAACCCAGCUUCCCUCUCCAAGUUUCUUUUCCCAAGUAACAGAAUGGUAAGAAAUAUUCCCAACCAUUCCUCUGCUCAAAUCUGCAUCCAAAUCCCAUGACCCGAAAAACCGUCCCUUUAGAGUCAUAUCAGGCAAUUGCAACUUGGUAUAGUCAUGGUAAAUAGAUGGCUGGUUCAUGCACCCUUUUCCAAAACAAGGAAAGGUAUUUUGAUCAGGAAAGGGUCCGACUCGGUGACCAUUUUUGGGGCAUUUGGCAGCAUAAGUGUCCAUGUUGCCACUCUUGAGCAUGAUCAUCCAGAAUUGCCACGGAUUUGGGGUGUCUUCAACUUGGCAUUUAAAUCCCAGGUACAGUUCCUUCUCUGCCGCAUAAAGGUCUACGUUAAACUGAGACUCUGCCUGCAGGCCAAAGAAAGGUUCUCCCAUCCUUAACUUGUUGUCUUGCUCUGUGACUCUGUGGACUAAUACAUAGGGCAGCUGCUGAUUGCAGAAGCAAACUUCUCCUGUUAUAUAACAAUUAUACAACAACAAAAAAAUACAUAAGAUUCAUAAACUACUUCUUUUGCUUGCUCAAAUUCAAGCACAUUAGCGCUAAGAUUGCUGAGGGAAUAAAAAUUUCAUUGAUCACAUAGGUUUUAUAACAAAAAACAAUCAGAAUUUCCAUGUGCUUCUUCUAUCUUCUAAUUUACAUAACAUAGUUCAAGUAAAGAAAGAAAAAAGUGCACAGAAACUAGAAGAGAAAAAAAAAAGGGAUCAAAAGGAAAAGGAGAAGCUAUACAUACCUUGUGGCUGCGGAGUAGCUUUGUAUAUGUCAAAGCAAUCAGCAGCCCUUGGGCUGCCAAUCUGAAGAGCUUCUUCUCCAACCUCAUUGCACUGAUUCCAUGACUCUAUCGCCACCCGUAGAUUGUCCCUUCUCAUCCCCGAAUCACCGACGGCUGAUAUAAAUUCAUUCUCAGCCCUCACAGACAAAACCACAUUCCAGAAAAUGAGAUUCACCAGAACAAAAACAAGAAAACAACAUGAGAUUUUGCUCUGUUUAGCCAUUUGGUGACAAGUUAAGAUAUGUAUAUUGAUGUAAUGUGCAUUUAUAUACCAAAGAAAGACUGCAAAAGUUUGAUUAAGUGUUUAAAAUGGAAAAAUGGGCAAUCAAAACUUUUGAUUUGAAGAGUUUUGUGUUUUAGGAGAAUUACUUGGUGAACAAGAUUUUAGAUUUCCAGUUUGCAUGGAGCAUACUCUUAUUAAAUACUUAUGCUUUGUUUAAGGAGGUUUAAUAAUGUGCGGCUCUCAUUCUCAUGGAAGGUAUCCUUUGUGACAGUUGUAUAUAAAUUAUCAUGUUGUAACCAAUGUGAUAAUUAUAUCAUCUAUGUUGCAUUAAUCUAGUUAUGAGAUUGAGAAUUUAUAGGAUACUAUACGGUGAUAAGAAAAUCUUCAAAAAUCAUCCUGCAAAGAUUACAGGAAUAAAAUAUGGAUAAUGCUACGGAAACCAAAUUUAUACACUAAAUUUGAGUCCCUAAUGAGAUGUCAUCUGUCAUAUCAUCGAUUUUUAUUUUUAUCUGUUAAAUUACAAAUAGACCACAGCACCCUCAUGGAUUAUUAUUAGUGAGUUUGGUGCACAUUCUCUUUCAUAUUGUGUCAAAUUGGCAAUUAAUUCCUUGAACCGACUUUCCCACCAGAAAAAAAAAGAAACGGACAAACCGAUUUUUCCUCGCAAACAAAACCACUCUCCUAAUUUCCUUUUCCCACGACACCAAAAACAGGGUUUGAGAAGGAAAAGAAAACGACCGUUUUCCAAAGAACGCAGACUCAGAAAUUAUCAUUUGAAGAAGUAACAAAACAAACUAACAUCAUAAAUUUCAUUUUAGGAAGAUUGGAAAUUAGGACCACAUAUACCAUUUCAAGUAAAGGUUGGUUUUUGGUUGUAAAUUAGUCAAGGGAAAGAAACCAACUUCAUAAACUGUGUGUGUGAUGUUUGUUUUGCAAUGACAGCCAAUUCUUGAGUUGAGUCUGUCUCAUUUUGGGUCCAGUCCUGCAACAGACAGGACAGGACAACCUCAAAUCUGGAUUGCAUUGGACCAAGUUGUAAUGAUGACCUAUCAAGGUUGGUGCACAUAUGACCAAAACUAGUUCCUUCAUGAGCAAGAUUUACAGGAGCUGAAGGAAGAGCACCAUCCAGUUAGGAGGAUAUGUCCCCUUUACACCCCAUACCUUUGAUUUGGAUGACUUUGAAAAUGGACCCUUUCUCCUCUCAUGCCUUUAUUCACACGCAAGCCUUUGGAUAUGACUUAAUCAUUAAUCUAAAUUCAAAACGACUAAUAAUUGCAACGUUUAAGUUUCUAAAAAACCUGUAGAACCCUUCUGUCAAAAAUCCAUUUUUCAUGAGACAGACAUUUAAAAGAAACCAUUUGUGAGAGUUUUAUUUCUAUUUUUAUGGCUUGGUUUUUUCAAGCUUUAUCUCUUUUUGGUUGUUCCGAGUUUGCAAUCUUAGUUGGGAUGCCUAUGCCAAAAUUUCUUCAAUCAUGCAUAAUUGUUAGUGGAGAUGUACCAGAUUGUCUUAAUUUUUAUGUUAGAUCGUUUCGUCAUUAUAAUGGCGAUUUGUGACUAGCUUGUAUUGGCAAUUUGUGACUAAUGACUUUUUUUGCUGAAUUAUGAAUGCAAUUCCAGAAUUUCUAAAAGAAAAAUAAAAGGAACCAAAUUCAUGCUAAUUAUGAUAUAACUAUGUGCUCUAAAAAAUUCUCUGGUAAUUGAUGUUAAUUUCCCUUAAAUCUUUUCAUCAACUCUCUAUCAACCCUUGAUUACUUCCAUCAACCUCCGGUCGUGCCUUAAUCUCACCUCCUUUGCAACUUAAUUUUCUGCCUUAAUCUUAUACAACAAUUAUUCUUCUUCAAAUCCCUAAAUUUAUAAUUAAGCUGUCUUUAUCCUUGUUGUAUUUGCUUAAUUAAUUCAUUUGCAUUCUAAAUUGGGCUUCUGCACAAAAUUUCUAAAGCCCCAACUUUCUGAUCAGCCCAACCCAAUUAAUUCACAGCUCUUUUACAUUCAACGACUCUGGCCCACUAUCCUAGUCUUUUUGACCAAAGUAGAAAAACAAAAUUCAGGACCGAAGACAAAGCAGAAAAGGCAAAAGGGCUCCCACAGAUUUUAUAUCUAAGCAGUGAAUAUGACCAAAAAGGACCGUGUAUAUAUAUCCGAGACCUCUUUGUUAUCUGUGCUCCAAACAAAGCAAAACACAUAAAAACUUGAAAAUAUAAAUUGUAAGGACCAUUCCAUUAUGUAAUUGAAGAAGCUUGCAUCCCAUCUUUUUAUUUUGGGGUACUUUUUUUAUUGAGAUGGGUGAUAGCAUAUUAAACUCAUAUACACUACACGAAUUUUAGAACUCGAACUCAAAAUCUCCUAAAAAGAGCAUUUGUUCCAAACCACUACACUAAUUGGUCAUUUGCAGCUUGCCUCCGUCUCCAAGCCUAGUAGGUGUUUUAAAACUCAGACAAUGACACGAAAGUGAGCUACUCCUAGACAUCCUAUCCUUGACAUACAUUCUACGUAGUGUCAAUUAAUGAAUUGGCUUGAUUUUGUUCUGUCCAAAAGAACAGAAGAUUGAAGAGGGUGCAGUUUUUAUUAAUGAGAAGCUACUCGAAUUUGUGGGGCUACUAUGUAAUAGAGGUCCUAUAAUGAUGGGGCACAUAGCUUUUCCAAUUAGAAGGCAAAAAAGUAGGAAAAAGUGCGUGAGUGGUCACAAGAUUUAGGGCGGGCCUUUCUUUUGAAAAACACAACACAAAACCAGUAAGACGACCCACGUUCCUAUUAACAGCCUAACUGCCCCUCUAGCUUCUGCUGUUGCUGCUGCUAGAGUCUCACUUCAUCAUUCAUUAUCCAUCUUCCUUUCAGUUCCAAGCCAUUUCCUUCUCUGCAAUUGCAAGCAGUCCAAAAUUCUUGGACAAUUCUCCUCAUCCCAACACAAGGGAGUUUCAGAUAGUCAGUGUCAUAUUAUGAAGUGGGGUAGCAAAAAGAAAAGGCCUCCACCUAUUUCCUCUUCAUCAUCUUCUUCUUCUCAGCCUUUCUUGAUUUCUCAUGUCUUUCCCACUUCAUGGCUUUCAAAGUUCAAGCAGAAGGGGGGCAAUUCAGAACCAAAACCCAGUAAAGUAAAUAGAAAAGGGAAGCAGAAUUCUCCAUCUUUGGGUUCACCAAGGUUUGCUGCUGCUAAGGGUGGUGGAAGAUUCUAUGGUGUAGUUGAUGAUGAUGAUGAUGCAUUUUGGAGACUAUCUUUUGGUGAAGAUAGUGCUGAAGUGAAGAAAAACAGAGGGGUUUUGAGAUCGGUUUGGUUUGAUUCAGAUGAUGAGUUUGAAGUUCAGCCCUCCAGUCGUGGAAGCUGUCAAACAAGUGAUAGAAUAGUGAAGGGAAGAGAUUUGUCUCAGAAGUUGAAGGGCAUGCAGAAAAGUGGGAAUGCUAAAGAGUGGAAAUUGAGGAAGGAAAACAGAGAACUUGAAGGAAAGAAGUUGUUGAAAUUAGAAAGAGAUGCUGAUAAAGCAGAAGAGACAUCAACAGAAACAGUAGAAAGUGAUGAGGUGGAAAUGUUAGCGGCAAGAAAAUUUUGGGCAACUGAGACUGAUGCAAGAAAACAUCAGUAUGUAUCUUCACUGAAUUCAAGAAAUUCAAGUCUAAAAACGAUUCAAGAAGAAGCUUUGAACUUGGAGACUGAAGAGCCUUCUGAAGAAAAACAGCCUUCAGAUUGGCAAAAAUUGAAAGAACGGAAAAUACAAGAGGUGAAGUCAAAGAGUGAGAAACAUAGGAAAUCUCUCUACAUAAGCAGGGAAUUACAGAGGAGAAGAACAAAACGUAGUAGCAAAGUCAGAGUUUGUUCUCCAAGAACAGCUUCAAGGGUUGAAAUCUGUAAAAUUAAAGCUCUUGAAAACAUGACGAAAGCGAAAAUGAAGAUGAAAAGGGUGGCUAAGGAGGGAGCAGUGCAGCAGGUAAGAACAGGCUUGAAUAGCUUUGCAGUGGUAAAGUGCUCAUUUGACCCACAACAGGACUUCAGAGAUUCCAUGGUUGAGAUGAUUGUGGAGAAAAAGAUAACCCAGCCAGAGGAUCUGGAAGAGCUCUUAGCUUGUUAUCUGACCCUGAAUUCUGAUGAAUACCAUGAUCUCAUUGUCAAGGUAUUCCGGCAGGUAUGGUUCGACUUGAAUCAGGCCAGUUUCAGUACUGAAUUACAGAACGAACAAUGUAGCAGUGACUGAUUUCUCUUUAGCUAAUUAUAGCCAAACUUGUAAUCAAAUUGUAAUGUGGUAGAUAUAACUGUUAUGUUUCUAAAUGCAUGAACUCUGCACUUCUAGCUUUGAUCUUAUCGCUUCAAAUUUGUGAAGUUUAGCAACCGAUGACAAUGCAGGAUUACAAUGUGUACAAGAUGCACAAAUGUGAGGAAAUAGUUAAGGUGGCAAACCCAGUUUCAAUCUUCGAACCCACAAAAAUCCAUACAGACGAUCAAAUCAAUAGUAAAAUGUCACUUGAUUGAGAGGAACCUAUAACCACAAGAGUCAAGACUUUAUCAAUAUUAGGAACGCAAAAGGGUGCAAAAAACAAAAACCAUGAAAUAUAUGAGUUCGGAAUUAAAUAAUUUUCCACAAAUAGUCGGGUGGACCAUGGAGCCUUUGCCGAAUAGAGGACCUGGAGCAACUGGUUAACAGUAUGCAAGUUCUGUAACAUUCCAAAUUCAAGCAAAUUGUGCAAGCUGCCAGACCUUGCAUUAACUCAUUGCCCCAGUAAACAAAGCCCUAUUGUAGUAAAGGAGGAUGAGAUUAGAAGGAAAAGCAUGUGGGUUUUGGACCAAAAAAAAAAAAGCAAUGAAAUGUUAUUUUCACGAUAUAAGAAUAGUAACAAGCAUAUACUAAGAAACAAGAUUGAAGUAAAGAUGGAAUCAAGGGAAAGAUGAACUCAAACAUAGAAGAUCUAUUUAUAACCAGAACAAAACAUUUAUGCCAAAGAGCAUGUAACAUGUGAGCCACUGGGCAUCAAAAUCCCAAAUAAAAUAACUAGUAUCACGUUUUCUCUACUGGAGUAAGAUGCCCCAUUUGUUCUGUAAGGUUAUUUACAUUCCUCAUAUUCCACCACAACUUGCCAUGAUCAGCAGGUUUGCUUUCGUUCUUUCUACCAUCAGAAUCCCUUUUUUCCAACUGAACUUCCUGAGCUUCCACUGAACCAGGAUUCUCAGUCAAGAAGUGUUCCCAGAAUACGUCAUUCACGCCAGUUGGCGCGGAAGCAGUGAUUCCAGAUGUUUGUUCUUUUGAGGAAGUAGGCUCAGGAGGUACAGCUGCAGCAGGCUCAGGAGCAACAACUACAUCAGGUUCAGAAUUCAUGUCAAUUCCCGGGGAUUUAGGCUGAGCGUCAACAUUAAGUUGUAUUGAAGAUAUAACUGCGCUUUCGACACAACUUGUAGACUCAUCCAACUCCACGUUUGAAACAACCUGAAUAUGAGUCUCUCCAACAUCAAAAAUGGUAUCUUCCCAAAAUGUUAGGAAUGACUCCAACUGCUCCAACUUUUCCAUAUCCGCAUUUUCUCUAAUACCAGCUUGUGAACUUGCCACCUGAUUAUUUCCAUUGCUCGCUUCAUCAUAAGACCAACCGAUUCUUGGCAACCUUCUCUUUCGCCCAUGGAUUUCCAAUUGCGGAACAGGAUUGGAGGCAAUCCCCGGUUUCUGCAAAACCCGGGCCACGAAACCGGCCAUGGUUUGCUGCUGCCUUUCCAUGUGUUGCAAACGUUCCUUCAAGAACUGGAUUUGCAACUCCAAUCCCUGCCGCUCCUGCUCAUGCCGCUGUAACUCCACACCAAGGCGUUCUUUCUCAUGUUUAAGCCUCUCGAUUUCAUCCUUCAUACUCUGCCUUUCAGAUUCGGAUAAGGAAGUCCCAUUCCCCUGGACUUGGAGAUUCUGCAAAGAGUGACUAUGAACCGGCUUUCGUCUAUGGAUAUUCUUCAUAAGGUGUGGCUGACCUCUGAUAAAAUCGUCAUUGGCAAAUUCCCAUUGUUCCGGAUCAAUUUUUCUGAAACCCUAUUGUAAGCAUUUAAAUCAAAUUAAGGAACUAAAAAACUAUAAAGAUAUGAUAAAUACCAAUGUAAAAACAACUGAAGCUGAAUGAAAGUAGAAACUUGAUUGACUUACGUAUGUAUUGAGCUGCCUGAUGAAGCUAGAGAAGUUGUUGUGCUUGAAGAACUUUGGCAGCAAAUCUCUGGCAAACUCCGGCGGGUUCCAAACAAUAAAGCUCUUAUUACUGGCACUCCAAGACACAAUUGAAUCGGUUGAAGCAUCAUCCACCAUAUCAUAGGUCUUGGAAAGGAAAGGCGGCAACGAGCUGGCGCCACCUUGAACUUCAUCCAUCCUAAUCAAUCCCCCAAAAUCACCAACCCAAAUUCGAAACCCAGUAUUAAAUCAUCAACCACUUCUCAAAACUCCAAAAUCACAGGCAAAUUAACUCCUUCAAGCUCUCCUGUAUAUGCAGGACCAAGAAUUCAAUCCAGAAACCUCAAAUUUCCACUCUUUCAACCCAAAAACCGAAACUUUGCAAGGAAUUAGGGAACCCAAGAUCCCGCUUGAAAAGCCUUUGAAUUCCCACCUGUGAAGGCCUUACCUUUCCAAGGAAUUAGGGGAACCCAAUUGAAAACCCAUUGAUUUUCCACCUGGGGUUUUGAAAUUGAACCCAAUUAAUAAAAUAAAAAUAAACCAAUGGAAGACUGGAAAACUGUAAUUAAUUAGCUGAUGGCCAGAAGUCUGGGUUCAGUCAAAACCCAAAGAAAAUGGAAGGCAAUUGACCAUAAAUCCCCUGAUAAUUUCAACUAAGCGUGUGCCCCAAACCUACCGUAAUAAUCGAAGUCCUAGACACACAAUAAUUGGCGGUUACCGCAAUAUUAUACCCCAAAAAAACCACAUAUUUGUUUUUAGUUGGAGAAGUUCGAGAAACCAAAGUCGCAUUUUUGACGAGUCGUUUGCUGGUUGCAACAGUUCCACAGACUACAAUUCAGUUCCCAUUUCAAAGUCAGAAAUUUUGAAAAUCAAAGAAGAAAAAAAGAACAGAGAGAGAGAGAGAGAAACAGAAAGCUUGGAGCAAAAGCAACAAGAAAUUGAUAAGAAUAGAAAGGGACAGGAACUAGAGAAGUUGCAGAGAAGAGACGGCUGAUUGGCUUCGCAAGCAAAGGUCACCAGUCGACGACCCCGAGACCCCGAAACCCCAAAACGAUUCGUUUUUCGCUUCUGAAUUUUCGAAUAUUUUGGGAUCCUGGUUCUCGAAACGCGUAAAGAAUUUUAUUUCCCACGGAAUUUUAUAUUAUUCCAUAAAGAAUAAAUACAAUAAAAUAUUUUUCUUUUUUUCCUUUUUAAUUAUUUCGAAUAUUCGGAUUAGGUUAGCUUUAUCCUUCAAUCUGAAAUGGACUAAUGGACUUGGAGACGACAUUGUCUCUGUUGUCGUUUAUGUAUGGGAAAGGUACGGUGACGUGUAUGCUUUGGUGGUGCUAUAUUCAAGGGAUCUGCAACCAAUUGGGGAUGCGUAAGGCCGAGUUUGUUUAAUCAAAAGCACCACGAGAGGCGGUUUUUUAAAGGAAAGGUAAGCAUCGUGUAACGUCUACCGUACACGUGGUUUGACGAUAUCGCGUUACGCCACAACACGUUUUGCUGGAUAAGUAUGAAUAUGUGCGUACUUUUUAUUUAAAUGCGACUUUAGGGUAGGUGAUAUUUUUGUAUUUAUGGGGAAAUAUUUGACGAUGUGUCCUAUAAAACAUAGAGUAUUUUGUGAUUUAAUUUAAAAGUAUACUUUGUCCCUCUCUAAUCGCACGGGGAUUAGCGGUCGCUUUGACUUUCAGGAGUUUAAGCAUACAAAAAUGACAAUGACUAAUCCAAAUAUUUGCAUAAUCAAGCUACUCGAUCGACCUAAUUAUACCUAAUUUAGGAGCAAUUGUGGUUUAAAUAUAAGCGGGACCCUAGUUGGAUGCAGGUUUGACACGUCUGAGAGUUCUCUUUUGUUCUGCAGGCUCAACUUCAUUGAUUUGGAACCUAUGGAGAGUGGUUAAAAUUCUAAAAAUAAAAUAAUGUCUAUAAAAUGUAACUACUUUACGCAAAUUAAUUUCUCAAGAUUAUAUGAUAUUUUACGUUUUACUUUCACGCUAGGGAUUAAAUAUGGCCCAGAAAUGGGGUUUGACUUGGACAAAAUUCCAGCCCACCUAUGGCGUAAUGGUUAGGACUUGGGCUUAAGAACGUUCAAAAAAAUUAGGCAGAGCCUAUGGACCAGUAAGUAACCACCAGUUUCCCGCGCAGAAUAAUAUCUUACACUCAUUUUGAGAAGGCAAAUUAAUUAAUUUUUUCUUCUUAAUACAAGCAAAGGGGAUGAUGCAAAAGAUAGAACCUCGUAAAUUUAAAUGUUUUUAACCAACGAAGCUACAUAUUCUUUACAAUUUAUUCUUAAUUACAUAAUUUUGAUACUUGUUCCUUUUUUGGCUAAUUAUACAGAGCAUAUGUUAAAAUGUAAGACCAUGUAAAUGCAAAACUCGCCUUUUCUCAAUACAUUAAAAAGAAUUUUAGGUAUAUAGAUUACGUCAAAAGAUAUAACAUUUCACCUAGUUUUCUUCUUAUGUUCUUCAUUCAAUAUCCAAGUUAUUUCGAAUGUUUGAACAAUUUAUGUUUCAUGAUUUACACGUGUUUAAUUUUAGAUUUAAUAGUCAUAUUAAUAAAAUAAUAAAAUAACAACCGAAAAAAAUCAAGUUAUAUAAUUUUUUUACUUAAAGCUUGUAUCUCAUCAACGAUCAAAAAUCACUCACGAUUUUGUAACUUUCAACUUAGUAAAAUCCAAGAUAGAAUACAUAGCACAAAGCAAAAGAGUGUACCAAUAAAGAGAAAUAUGGAGAGCUGAAAUUGAAGAAAUGAAACAGUGUCUCUGGUGCCUCGUGGGUGGCGGGCAUAUCGGGCAUCACAUGGGCCCACCGAUGGGACUGACAUGAUUAACGUUAUAUAUAGGACGGUGGUCCCCACCACCACCACCGCCACUAUACCAUACCAUAUCAUAUCCCACAAAUCCACAAUCGGUGCCACGCACCAUGGGGCAGCAGCAGCAUUACACAAAAGCAACUCUCUCCUCCUCUUGUACACUUGUCAAUUAAAAAAAAGAAACGAAAAAAAUCAAAUUCAAAUCAGUGGCGGACCCAAUGCCACGGCCUCCAAUCGGGUUUGAUACGCUGGUUGAGUCCGCGGCGCACGUGUAGUUGGUUGAAUUUUGGGGCGAUGGACGACCCGUCGUGUUAUUAAAUAUAUGGGGGGCUCACUGCUCACAAUCUUUCAAUAAUAAUAUCUUAUCUUAUGCGAUAUUGUAAUUUGUAACCAAAGAGCAAGCUACCAAAACAUUGCAGCUUGCUUGUCUCACCUUACAAUUUAUUAAAAUUGCAACAUACAAAUCACAUCAAAUUCUAAUGUCCUAAAUUUUGUUAUUUCAUUGAAACAUGGUGCCCUUCAAGCAAGGAUGACAAUUUUAUAUUGAUUUUUUCUUUCAUAAUGGGGCGAGUCGAGGAAUUCAUUUCCCAAUGAACUCUAUUUCCAGAGUUACGAACAUAAUAUAUUAUUUUUCUCAUUAACAAUAUAUCAUCUAUAAGUAGCACACAACAAGCCAUAUAUGCUAAUGAUCGAGCAUGAAAGCUCUACGAAUGCUACGGAUUAAUUGAGACUAAACUCAUCUUUUGUAAGUUUUAUUAUGAAGUGAGGAAUGAGUUGCUAUGUUAUAAUGUUAAAUUGCAUAUAAUAUUAGCAAUCAAACCAUUAUGAGUCACAACACAAAUUGUGUGACAAAUAAUCUUUGAUAAGACUUGUAAGAUUGUGAAUGCAAGCAUUUAUAUUUAUGUGAUGAGGAUUGAAUGUCUAUGAGUUACAAAGUGGGCAGAAACCACCUGGGGUCCACACUGAAGAAAUAGGAAAUGAACCCUUGUAUAAAAAAGGGAAAACAAGGCAAAAAGACAGAGAUGGUGAGCAGGAGGAGGGUACAUUGCCAAUUCCAUCAAUGAGAAGCUAAUUUGGAAGGUGGCGCAUAGCAGGAGAUACAUAUGGGCCCCGCCUCAAAAGCCCACCCUUCUCUGCGCGCUAAAAGCCUUCACCGUCUGGAUGUCAAUGAUGUCAGUCUCUUAUUAUCAGUAGUUAUAUUGGAUCCAUCAGUCCACUCACGCAAAAAAUAGAUAACCAGCGCCAGCAUUAGUCACGUGAUCUCAAACCAACAAGAAAAGACUCAGUCAGUCUACACUACAGUACAUUAGAACAACAAACUUCUUCGGAACGAAAAUAAUACUGUUUUAUUAUUUACGGUCAGUUAUAAUAUAUUACGUGUAAUAAUUUUUUACUUAAUGUAUUAUAAUUAAUUGAAAAUAAGAAAACAGUAAUAUCCCGUUUCACACAACAAAAGGAGAAGAAGAGGAGGGAGAGAGAUAGUGCGGCAAAGGCCAAGUACCAACCAACACACGAAAACAAACUCACACUCACGCAUCACACACACUGACAAAAGACAAAAGUGGCAGCAGUAGCUACAGCUACCUGAGACAUCCCCACGCUGUGUUGUGGCCACCGCAACCGCACGCCGGCAUGCAACCAGGCCCCGCCGCUCCUUUACCUGGCCCCCACCUCCCCCCUUACCCCCAAACAAGCAAUCACAACUCUGGGUCCCAUUGUCCACUCCCUCCUCCAAUCCAAUCCAAUCCUUCUCAUGUUUGACAUUUUCAUUAGACCUACACCUCUCACCUAGCUUAUAGUAAUACAAUUAGCCACGCUACUCCACAUAGUCCUAGCCUAAUUAAAGCAAAUAACCAAUUUCAUUAAUUUGGUGUAUUGUUGUGUAAAUACAUAGUAGGCAAGGCAAUCAUGAGUGAAUCAAUAGUUAGAUAUCGUUAACAAGCAACUAGACAAAUUCCAUUACUAAGAAAAAGAGAAAUACAGUUAAAUUAAUAGCUUUAGUCGGUGCGUGCAAACAAAUAUUUUAUUCAUUAAAAUUAAUAUGAAAAGGAGAAGUUAAAUUUGGAUAUUUUCAAACAUUAGACAAUUGUGCGUAGUACAACUAAACUAUGCUUAAACCCUUGCACCACUCGUAGUUUAAUCUCUAAUAGUUGAAUUAGAAGCCUAGUCCAACACUCCAAUUAGCAUGAACCAAAAAAGAUUAAGGUCAAGGUGGAUUUGUCAAAAUUAGGCAACCUGGUCAAGUGAAUGCGACCGUUUGAAAAAAAAAUAUGAUGGUCCACAGAUACCAUUAUCAUGACAAGCCUAAUCAUAACCUUAUCCCCCUUCCCUUUACAUACCCAAUUUCCCAUUUUACCCACCAUUCUCCUUAACCCAUAAUCACUUGUGCUGGUUGGCUGGCAGAGGGAAAAUACAUGGAUCUAGAAGCAAUUAUUAUCAAGUCCUAUAAAAAAUAUAUUCAAAACGACACCGUUUUAUCGUAGUGUUGUACAUUACCUGGUCGCAAGUAGCGGCCGCGAAGGACCACCCCGCCCUUUUUAAAAAGCCUAAACACGUGUUAAGGCCCGUGAUUCCGGAGUCAGAGCCAACAAAAACAAAUAAAAAGAAGAGACUGCCACUCUCGUAAUUUACCAAAUCAACAAUGGCAAUUACAUUCUCCCGUUGUAUUUAGCUCUCACCCUCCCCCAAAACCCCCCCCUGUCUCUCUCUCUCCUCUCUCCCUCUCUCGCUCUUUAUUAUUAAAAACCAUUCUCCAAACAGAAACCGCCAAUUCCCGGUUUGCCGGCUGGUUCGCGCCACCGGUCGUCACACUCCGUUCGGGUUAGUCCGUUUGGCUCCCGAGAAAACCAGAAUCGCCACCGAAUGAUGACGUCGGGAACGAGAAUGCCGACGUGGAAGGAGAGAGAAAACAACAAGAAGAGAGAGAGGAGGCGCAGAGCCAUCGCCGCGAAGAUCUACUCGGGCCUGAGGAUGUACGGAAACUACAAGCUACCGAAGCACUGCGACAACAACGAAGUCCUCAAAGCUCUCUGCAACGAAGCUGGUUGGACCGUCGAAGAAGACGGCACCACUUACCGAAAGGUAUAUAUAGUUCCUUCAUCCUUGCUCUCUCUCUCUCCCUCUCAAAUUCUCAAAGCCAUUUUUGCUCAAUUCGCUUGCGGUAAUGUUAAAAUGCGCCGUGGCGUUUGAAAACACCGCUUCCGAUCCGAUUUUUCUUUUGUGCUUUUUGAAACUCUUGCUUAAGGUAGCUUAAUUAAGCAGCGGAUUUUGUAAUCAGUCUGGCGCCGAUCGGUGUGAUCGAUGGCUCAGAUUGAAUCUGGUGAUUGUUUUACUUGCUUAAUUUCUGUGUUUAAUAAUCUCAGCUAACGGCGUACGUUAGAUCGUUAAUGUCGAGCGGGUCGCACGAAGCACGAGGCUCUUAGAGAUUCGUUCGAUUCUUUUCUAUGAAAACGAUGAACGCAAUAUUCAGAGACCUGCAAGCCUUUCUCGUGUGACCAAAAUACCCCCGCUCGAUUAACGAAAUGAGAGACUCUCAAUAGCGGGCAUUUGGGUCUUUGUUGAGGGUAUUUUCGUCAUUUGGGAUUCUUCCCACCUCCAACUUUCACUUGGAUUUAAUACAACCGAAUGUUCUCUCUCUCUUUUAUCAGUCUGUUGACUGUUUUUUCUCUCUGCUUCCGAUUUCUGAGCUCGUGGCUAAAUUUGCGUGAAAGUGAAAACCUUUUCUUUAUCUCUCUGCUUUCUUUUUCUUCUUUUUACUGCUCAAAGACUUACUGUGUCCGUGUUCCAAAACUGCCACUUCACCCGCCUUAACCGGUCGUGAGACAACGAGGGCAAUUUGGUCUUUCGACGCUCAACGGGUACAACGACCAAGGACUUUUAUUUAUUUGUUUUUUUUUUUUCUGGAAUUCUUGGCCUGUUUCCGAGAUUUACGGGGCAAUCACAGUACUUUCCCGUUGGAUUGAGAACAUGGCAUAUGAUGGUUUGUGGGCCGGUGUUUUACUCUUUUUUUAAUUUUGGGUUUUAUUAUAAUUUAUAAUAAUUAGGCUUUUUAAAUUUAGAAUUAAUUUUUAUUUGAAAAGUGGAAAUUUUGCUUGGUGAUUAAAAUGGGGGGCAGCCCAACCAAAAGAGGUUUAUGAGAGGAAAGGAUGAUUUCUUGUUGGAAAUCCUUGGAUUCCUUUUUUUGGUUAAAAUUGUAAUUGCAAUCUUUAAGGCGGUAAAGCGUGUGUGUGGCUUUAGAUUGUGAUGAGAGGGAACAUGUUGGGCGAUGGCGUGUCGUGGAGGGGCCGCGUAACAACUAAUACGCAGCCGCUGUUUGACAUUAUUGUCUCUCUUAAUUCGGUCUUCAUCUGAAUCUGAGUGCAAUUAGUCAAUUACAUUUUUGCCACCAUUCCCCUAUUAAGGGUGACCUAAUUUUAUGUAGGCAGGUUGUGUUUUGGGAGAAACAAUUCUUUUAGUUAAUGAGGCUCCUUUUUUAUAUAAAAAAUAGAAGCCUAUGUUUUGGUAGAGAAAAAGAAAACAUAGCAGCAGAGCAUAAAAGAAAACAUAGCAGCAGAGCAUAAUCAAUCAAGGACAAAUUUUCAGCUUUAAUCAACUAAGGUCUUAGGAAAACACUGAACUUACUCUGGCUUGCUUCCUCUUAUUAGCGAUGAAAUAGAGUAACAAUUCUCAGUCUACUAGGAAAUUGCGUGUUUUGGCAUUUGAAGUACUUAGGAUCUUUGCAACACCAUUUUCAUGUGGUUAGGCUUUAAGAUUUCCUCAAGUGAAGUUCAAACCAAUUCAGAAUCUCAGACUUUUGAUGAAUAUUUGUAUAAUUUUGUCUCACAAUAGGUGAUAUGUUCAUUGUUGCAGGGAUGCAAACCUGUGGAUCGCAUGGACAUAAUGGGAGGAUCUACAUCAGCAAGUCCAUGUUCUUCAUACCAGCCAAGUCCAUGUCAAUCCUACAAUCCAAGUCCUGCCUCUUCUUCAUUUCCAAGUCCAGCUCGCUACCCUGCAAAUGCAAACGGCAACGCUGAUGCCAAUUCUCUCAUCCCAUGGCUUAAAACCCUCUCAUCAGGUUCAUCAUCUGCUACAUCCAAGCUUCCCCAACUCUUCAUUCAAGGGGGUUCCAUAAGUGCUCCAGUCACUCCACCACUGAGCUCCCCAACUUCCCGAACUCCUCGAACCAAAAGUGACUGGGAUGAAGCAGUGGCUGGCUCAAACUGGGCAGGGCAGAAUUAUCCUUUCCUGCCUUCAUCCACCCCACCAAGCCCCGGUCGCCAGGUUCUGCCUGAUUCAGGAUGGCUUGCUGGACUGCAAAUUCCCCAGAGUGGCCCAUCAUCCCCCACAUUCAGCCUUGUCUCGAGAAACCCUUUCAACUUGAAGGAGGCUUUGUCGGGUGGAGGGUCUCGGAUGUGGACUCCGGGGCAAAGUGGAACAUGUUCGCCAGUAGUUGCUGCAAGUGUUGAUCACAGUGGAGAUGUUCCAAUGUCAGAUGGAAUGGCAGCGGAGUUUGCAUUUGGCAGUAACACAUCAGGAUUAGUGAAACCAUGGGAAGGUGAAAGGAUUGAGGAAUGUGUAUCAGAUGAUCUCGAACUAACUCUUGGAAGCGCUAGAACAAGGUAAGUUGGAAUCGAAUUCGUGGGCGAAUGGAUCCAACUGUUUUAAGAGUUCCUCAACUUUACUGGUUUUGUUUGUUAAGGACCUUGUGUUGGUGCUGCAGAUGAGAGAAUGAAUUGGGAGAGAACCGUUUAUGGGUCUCUUGAUGCAGGUUCUUCCUUCUCUUCAUGCCAAGUUCCACUUCAUGUCCCAGGGUGUUUUAGUGGGUCAGUUAGAAGUACAGUGAGUAGGAGCAGCUGUUUUCUUUUUCUUUUUUCUACUUUUAUUUUUUCCUUAACAAAAGAGCACUAAAAAUUAAAUUAUAAAUAGUUCAUGGUGGUGUUUUGCCCCUUCUGUUAAAUUCAUUCUUCCAUUUUAUUCUUCUUUGUCAUUUUUUUUUUCUCCACAUAACAUUGGAAGGAUUCAUAUAUGAUCUUGGUUUGUUUGUUUGUUUGUUUGGGAUUUGUGAUUGAGUCUGAUUUUGGAAGUGAAGACUAACUCAUUGCCUACAAGUUCUGACCUCUUCAGCUCAAUAGCAUGUUUGGUUAACAUACCUGCCAUUUUAUUACUAAAAAUUGCAUUUUAUAUAAGUAUGAAUUGUAAGAAGACAAGCCUUUUAUUAGAUUGAGAUGUACUCCUAAUAUAUAACGCAAUAUGCAUUAUCUGUCAUUAUCAUCCUGUUUCUGCUCUCUAUAAGCUUCAACUCCUCCAUCAUUCUGUCAUCCACAAAACAAAACAGUGUGCUAUCCAAUUUUGAAAAGAUUCAAACGCUCAAUUUUGUAAGUUGCAAGCCACAAACAAGCGCAAAGCAAUACUCACAUGAUCACAUCCAGUUAAACAUGCGCACAAACACAUAACAUCAAGAAAACCCAAUUCAAAAAAGAAAAGAAAAACCGAAGUUCGAGUGGAGGGACGAGAAAUCCGAAACUCUAGAAGCCAAUGCCUCGGGCUCAACCUUAGAAUUUGAGCUUUUGGGGACCCUCCAUUAGCUUAACCAAAUCAAGCUUCGUUUUUUAUGUUCUUGUUCUGCAUGUACUAUCCAUGAAGGCGGUGGCUUCAUGAACAAUAUUAGGGAGGAUUUUUCCAAGGGACUGAGGGAGGCCAACAGAGGCCAAUUUAUCUGCAACGUUUUUAUAAGAGAACUAAUAAACAUUGGAAAUGCAGAAGCGUUUUGAGUUUUCAUAAUUACAUUUCUCUCUCUUUCCUUUGAAUUCUGCUCCAUUUUAGCAUCAGGUCAAAUAAAGUCCUGUCUUCUUCGUCGCUCGCCAAGGCCAUCUAGAUUUGAUCCACACACACGCUUCUGUCUUCUUCUCUUAUUACGCCUAGUUUCAAAAGAUGGAAGAGUGAGGAGUCCACUCUUUUGGCUAGAAAAAUGGAGAUAUGCAAAUUACAAAUUUCAACCUUUAAAAUCUGACAAGUUUUUCAUUAGAUUGAGAUGUGCUCAUAAUAUUAGGUAAUUAAUUUCCACCUGUUCUAUGCGUUAUUUGUCUUUGGGAGGGGAACAAAAGCCAUCUGCCAUGAUCGUAUUAUGGUCCGGAACAAAACCAGAAGUUCCAGUCAUAAAACAAGUCUUCCAACAAAGUACUAUAUUUACUAUUCUGAUUUCUUUUGUUAAGAAAUACUUUUCAAUGAGUUUUGGCUUUUGUCCAGAACAAAUGUGUCAUUUACAAAUAGAAAUCGAGACGGCAUGAGUAUAUAUACACUGCGGUGGUUUCCAUGUACAUGCUAUGUCCCAGGAAGUGUUUCAUGGGCAAAGAAUGGCAGCAGCUGAAAGCUUCAAAGCAUAUGCACAGAACAUACAAUCUUCAAAGAUUCAUUUCCCCCUGAUCAUAGGUAACUUUUACCAAGUAAUCCAGGGAUGUGCUCAACUUUGUCACCCCUCAAUCUUCUGAUACAAAUCUGCGAGGGCACGAUAGAGGGUAGCAGCGGCAGGUGGUUUGGGCAACGAGCCAAGAAGUACAUCUGAUGCAGUUAUUGACUGGCUGCCAUAAAAUCGAGAAUUCACCUUUGUGCGGGUGGUUACAAUACUACCUUCAAGUGAACAUCCAACAAAUGCACCUGGAAUUGCAAUAAUUGAUGAUGUAAUGUGGUAUUAUUUAUAAGGAAACUACUCAAAAUGAAAAUAUAAAGAAAAAUAAAAGGAAAUACAGGUAUAACAUCAGAAAUGCAUAUUAAGUUGGAAAAAAUAGGACACCUUUACUACAGCUGUAUGUAUAACAAGCAGCGUAACCACCAUCACCGGCUCGAACAUCAGCUUCAACUGCCCUUCCAACAACGCCAACUGCAGCACUCAAGCCAGCUCCUACAGAUAGAUGCACAUUACCACUGAAUGUUUUUACAGCCUCAGUUGUUCUCAAAAUAAUGAUAAAGUCCGUCAACUCCCCUCCAGCCUGCAACAAAAAAGAGGGCAUGGGAUUUUAAGUCUUCAGAUAUAUACAAAACACAUACUGAGACUGGGAAGGUUUUGUUAUGCUGACUUAAUAAUAAUAUCACAUUUCAAACUUCUUAAACUUGCAUAAAUAGGAAGCUUUGAACAAGGAUUCAAUUUAAAAUUGAUAUAGACAGCAAAAACUUCAUAGAUUUGGUACAAUCAAUAUUUUUCUAAAAACUGUUUAAAUCUUAUUGUUGUUCCUCCAUUUGACUAAACAUGAAUAAACAUAUGCAAUGGUUAUUUCUGUCAGAGUAGUUGCAAAUUGUCAAACUGGAGAAUAAAUGUCAAAGUUGUUAUAAAUAAAAUAUUGCACCUGUGCUCCCCAACCUAUACCAAAUGUAGAAACAGCAGAUGGUGGAGACCAAGAGCCAUCUUCUCUACGAGCAAUCACGACUCCAGUACCUAUAUUGUAGGUAACCAUAACUCCAACUUUCACAGCAGUGAUUAUUGCAAGGCCUUUUGCUUGUCUUAGAAUGGCAUCCGGAAUUGACUUCUCAGGUUUUAGGGAGCAUACCUGAACAAUUAAUUCCAUGCGUUUAUAGAAUAUUCAUGCCAGUUAGAAAAACAUUUUCAUUAAGAAAUUAAGAGUACAUGUUAAUAUCGUAGAGACCGAUUUUAUUCUUUAAAUAACCAAAUUCAUGAAUUCUUCUCCCACUAUAAUUUAUGAUCCAUACAGGGGCUAAUUUUUGCGCACAUUUAUUUAAGUCAUAAGUUCUCAAGCCAAAGCAACACAGUCACUAAGAUAUUGGGCCUUCUCGAUGUAAUUCAAACUUAAGGCAAAUACGUUCUUAAGGUAAAACUGGAGCUCACUGGCUAUCAAAGCAGUAGAGGCAUCAACAAUGCAUGUUCAACAGUUUUGACACUUCAGAGUCUUACCUUCUUAUAAACACGAAUUGCAUUUGCCGCCUUAUAUAUCUCAUACUCCAUGGAUUGUCCCCAAGGAAUAUUAACCCACGACCGCAAAGUACUAAGGUCUGUAAGAUCCUGGGUUGGCAUCUGGGCUGCAUGGCUUACUUGGUCCAUUAAGUAUGGCUGGACCGAGUCAAGUCGUACACAGCAUACAUCACAGACUCGUUGGGGAUCCGCAACACGGAACUUUGCUGGCAUCAAACUCCUUCCCUUAGAGCAGUCACCACAAAAUAUUCCUCCACAAAACCGACAAUGAUGCCUAGAACACAUGAUGGGAUGAAAAUGCACGCCACAGAGCAUACAAGCAGAUGCAGAACUGUCAGCCAACCAUUUUGGUGGCUCUGCUUCGAUAAGUUCUCUUACAUUAGCAAAGUUUGCAUCUGUGAGUGUUUGGGCCAUUUCUUUCCAAGCCUGGUCAAGGAGAUUAUCCGAUAUCCAUGAAAGUUUGCAUCCAUAUAUAUCAGCUGAAGCAAUUGAACUUACUUUCCCACGGGCUGCAAGCAGCAUUUCUACCAUCACAUCCCACAUAGUCAGCUCCUUCUCUUCCCCAAUAUACUGGCCCCAACCCAUGUCACCAUCAGGAAAGUAUCCCCCAUUUGAGUAGAAACCUUUGGCCCACUCUUCAUGCUCAGUUUCCCACAUAGGCGGAACCGAAACGGGUAUCCAAACCCCAGUUUCUUCAGAAAGUGGAGCAUCAUAAUAAAAGUAUUUUCUUGGCUCCCCAUUUUCCUUCUCAUGUAACUCAGAGUCACAUUCUCUAGAUUCUGUCAUUAUUUGGUCAUCAUUAUGCUUCUGCUCUCUAUGAUUUUCAACUCCAUCAUUCUGUACAUAAAAAAAACAGCAGGUAGCAAUUAAAAUUUUGCCAAGCCGCAAGCACAAAGCAAUACUUACAGGCCGCAGACACAAAAACUAAACUAAAACAGAAAGACCUUUUUUUUUUUCUUCUUAAUUUUUGGAGAAGGCCCUAAAAUUGAAACCAUGCCACCGAAAGACUGUACUUUCCCAUUUCAAUGACUGUACUUUCUAAUUUCCCCGGAUUGAAUUUUACUUCUGAAUCGCAAAGAAACCCUAAUUGUUCUCAUAGGUGAGGCAACACCAGCUCAAUUUUGGGACUUUGACAGAAUGAUAAUCGAAUACGUCAAGAUAUGCACAUAUAGAGUAUGAUCAAAUCCCAAAACUUAUUCUUCGCCCACAAAAGAAUUCAAAACUUAAACACACUCAAAUAAAUGAAAUCAAGAGAAGCAGAGAGAGGAUGAAUAUUACCGGCGGAGAUUGGAAAUUGGGGUGGAGGGUGUCUUCCUGAAGCGAGAAAUCCGAAACCCUAGAAGCCAAAGCCUCGGCCUCAACCUCAGAAUCGAGUUUAUGGGGCCCCUCCAUUAGUUUAACCAAAUCAAAGCUUCGAUCUUUAUGUUCUUCUUCGGCGUAUACUAAUCAUUCAGGAACAAUCGCAACUAAUUCCGUGAGGACGAAGAGGGAUUGUGACGAAAACAAAUUGCAAAACACAAUUAUUAUUGCUAUUAUUAUUUUGGAUAGAACAGAAAAUAGGAUUGGCGAAAAAACAUGAAUUGCUUAUAGUAGAGGAUGAAGCUGUAAUGUCGUGUCGGCCAGUCUUCGUCUCUAAAACGUUUCCUUCGUCUAUUUAUUGUUGGAGCCCAGUUUUAUUUCUAAUUACUUCAUUUGCUAGACUUUUAUUCAGUUAAUCAUUAUUCAUUUUUCAUCAAAUAAGUUUUGUCUUUCUUUUUCCAAAAGAAAACUCAAUAAGCAUGUGUUACAGUGUUAUCUUACAAUUUUAGCAAAGUUAAAAAAUAUAUAUAUAUAUAUAUAUUUGUUGAAAGCAAAGUUUAAUUUUGGAAAAUAUGUUGGUAACAUAGUUGCUAAACUAUUAUUCUUUGAAAGUUAUAUUUAGUUGCUAACGGAAUCUAGUCCGAUAGAAGAAUAUGACAUUUUAGAAUCUUAAAAAUUUGUUAAAAAGCAACAACAAAAACAAAGAAUAUGGAAAAAAUUCCUGUCAUAUUUAUGAACAUAAUCUAAACAAGCAAAAACAAUUUCUUUCGUAACCGAGAAUUGUUUACAACAUUAGUGAUUUACAAGAUAAUAGACUACUCAUCUCUUGCUCCAAACUACAGGCACAUGGUAAGGGAGGAGAUUUAUUACACAAUCAAGAUGUUAUAAGGAUUAGAUCUUGAGACCUUUUGUCUGCAAACCAAUGAUAUUUUUUACUGGGCUAGACCCCGUUAGUAUCUUCUUUGGUUGUUAUUUUAAGUAUUAUAUUACCUACCAAUUCUUAAUUAUUACCAAAUACAUUUUCAACAUAAAUUUAAAAAUAUAUUUCAGCAUGAAAUUAACAAGAAAUUAUGACUUUGAAAUUGAAAAUAAUAAUGAUAUAUGUGAAAUUUACCCCAUUAUUCUAACAUCGCAGCGAGCGAACCGGCAGAGACGAACGGUGUGUUGUCUUAGAAGCCACUAGCAGAGUCUGAGCGGGUCACCAAUGGCAACCCGGUUCCCGAGUCCGAGUCCGAGUCAUAAAGUGGCGAGCUUGGUCCUGGUCCUGGUCCUCUUAGCUAGCCUCUACGGCUCCUGCCGUGGAUCUGAGUCUCGGAUCCAUCCGGGUCGCGACCUGUUGGCCACUCAAAGGAGGAACAACGGCAGUCAGAACCAGAUCCCGAGCUGCAACGACAUGUCGUCGGAGUCACAGUGCUCCCGGAACCCAAAGUGCCGGUGGUGCCGCAGCGACGUCCUCAACGACAUGUGCUUCCCAAAGCUCGAGGCUUUGCGCUUACCCCUACAGGUCUUCUCUUGCAAAAUUGACUACAGUCGUCUCAACAGAAAUCAUGAGAAAGCUUAGCUUGAGUAUAUUUUAAUUUAAAGUCAGCUGCUUUUAAAUCUUUUUCCACUUUUAAUCACAAAUCAAUUCUUGUGUGUUGUUGUUGUUGUUGUUUGUUGAGUAGGGAAUUGUGCAUCUUGUGAUCUGUAAAUGAUGUGAUGUGAAUUGAAAUUGAUCUGUUCUUGAAUUGAAGAUCUGAAUCUUUUGAUAGACUAGUUGAAGUUGUGAUUGUUGAAGGUUAGAUUGUGUUUUUCCCAGCUAAGGAUUAGGAUUUAAUAGAAUGGGAAGUUGAAGUAUCAAAGGAAGUGGAUUAAGCUUGAGCAGCUUAAGAUCAAGCUUAAUACAUGUGCCUCAAAAGUAGUUUAAGUAGCUUAAGAUCAUCAUAUCCAUGCCUUAGGAAUUGAGGCACAUUUUGCAAAAUUGUGUGUGUUUCAUGUUCAUAUAGAGGAUUUGUACAUUUAUAAAUUAGAGGAAGAAAUAUAGCUGCCUGCUUGUAAGUUGUGCUUGUACAAUGUGAAAGUAAAUCAACUUAGUACAUUUUGCUUGUAAGUUUUGUGAGUGAUCCAUGGAAACCUAGAAGAAAGCAUGAAGCCUGGCAUGCAAGGUA
rnacentral:lncRNA from 1 species